CAUACAUAAUUUUUAGAGAACAAAUGGUAAGCGCUAAGUUUCAUUUAACCUUGUGUUCCAUUUCAGAGACCUGGCUCACAGACGUGUGUGCUCUGAUUGAAUGAACACGUGAGUGAGCAGCAUUCACAGACAUCUCUGUGUGGAGCGCUUCCUCUCCUUUAUCUUUCAGGGCGUUCAUUUCAUUCACUGUGAGUUUAUAAACGGCAUGGAUUUUGGAGUCAGACAACCAGAGUUCAAAUCCAGCCUUUGCUAAUCACUUGGCUGAUGACUUUCAGAAAUCUGCUUAACCUUCCUAAGACCUCGGUUUCCUUAUCUGCAAAAUGGGAUAAUAACCCUUCAAGUGAAAUAAGGUGUCCCAUUCAGAGCAUCCAAGCUAAUGGACAGUUAAGGAAAUGGCCCAACAGCUGGCAGGCCUCCCCUGCUGUUGCCAAUAUUGUUUUCAGGCUCCAGGCGGUGCUGAAUUAUAACACACGCGCAGCAAAACUAGCACAGAAGCCCCACGUCCACCACUCUCUGCCCCUCCAAACUCUAAGACAAGCGUGGCUCCACUAAGUGUCUUAGGCCGCGUAAUGCAGAGCCUCUCAACUGGCAGCAGUGUCAACGUUCCCACCUACAGCCCGUGAGGUAGGCAGAGCAUCUAUCAUCACUAUCACCCUCAACACCAUCAUCAUCAACAUCAUCACCAGCUUACAGAUGAAAACCCUGAGGUUCCAGGAGAUACAGGGACAACUCAGCUUCCGACAGAACUGCGAUGAGAUAAAUGCGGGCUCCUGAAUCCAAACCUGAACUCUUUCCUCUGAGCUGACGGCUCCAUGAUGGCAGCAGGGCCACAGCACAUGGCUAUGGGUGUCACCAACCUCAGCAAUGAGAUGGCUGCACCUUGGCUUGGGAGUGCCCUGUAGGUAAACUGCUCUCCUAGACACUGUAGGAAAGGCCAAGGUCAACAGUCUGAUUCAGGGAACUUACAUGUCAAAUUCCCUGGGGCCUGGAGCACGAUCACAUGUUCCGUGUGUUUCUUUUCAGAAGGGGUUUUGGAUCUGCAUUUAGAGAGAACAGUCUGAGACUAGAGAGGGCAGAAGCAUUUCAAGAAGAAGAAAGUCUCACCUAGGUUUCUGUUUGUUCGUUUUCUCAUGCCAGGUGGACAUGAGAAAUAAAGCAGUGGGGGAGGGAAAGCAAGGGUGGACUUUCAUGGGGGGCGGGUGGGCAGGGCUGCAUCCCCCUAAUCAGCAUUUCCAUUAUCCUCAUCAAAUACUCUGUAGCAGUCAGACUCUGGGUUCUGUCCUUCACACUCAUUUUCUAGAUUAAUAUUCAUGUCCAUCCUAGGAGCUAUUAGUGCUGUCAUCUUAGGGAUAAGGAAAUUGAAGCAAGAAAGACCACGAUAUUUGCUAAUGGUCACACAGCUAGUAAGAAGCGUAGCUGUGGUUUACCUUGAUUUCUUUAAACUUAGAGCUCAAAUAUUGGAGCAUUACAGCCAAUGUUUCUAAUACAUCACCUGCAUCCAGGUGCCCUGUCACAUGUCCAUCUUCCUUGACUCCACCUCUCAAAUCAGAAUCUCUGGGGAUGGGCUCCAGGCAUCUGGAUGCUAAGACAUGACUCCAGUUAUUCUGAUAAACACCGAAGAAAGGAAACCACUACACUGGGUGAUUUGGCCGCUUACUCUGCAUACACUGGAGUUUAGGUUUGACAUGAGAGGCAACUGAGAAAGAAAAUUAAUUAGUCAGCUGAAGAUAUGGCAUUAUAUUAUAGAGGAGAAAAAAAUAUCCAAACUAGGAAUUUUAAGAUCUUUUAAGAUCGUCAAGAUUCUUGUAUUAAAUAAUGGGGUCAUCUUAACCUCUUUGAGUUUGUAUCCUUAUCAAUUAAAAAAAAAUCCUGUUCAGCCUACCUAAGUAGAAUUGUUAUGAAAAUAUGAUGAGAAAAUAAAUGUUAUUAGUUCUGAAAAGCAAAGGCCUGUAGCCACAAUGAAGUUAUGAUGAAAAUAAUGUCCCAAGUGUUCAGUCUUAAGGCUUUGAAUAACACAGUUUGUUAAAGAAGAGGUAAGGUUUCCUUCUCCUUUAUGCAGGUGAGUCAGAGACCAUGCAAGGUCGAGAGCCUUAAAAUAAACAAGGUGAAAUAUGAUUAGGAAGACGCUCCAGAGAACUGGCAGACCUAUAUGAUGUUUGCAAUAAAGGAGGUAGAGGAAAAGAUAGGAGAGCCUUCUUCUAGAGGUUCAAGGUUGAGAAUGGGGUGCUUGGGUUUAAACAGGAAAUUGGUACCAGGUGAUGUAUAGAGGGAUUGAGUAUAGAAGGCAGUCAAGGUCAUUGGAACAUGAGGAAGAGCAGAGAAAAUGGUAUUCAGAGUCAUUUACUUAUUUUUUCACUCAUUCAUCAGAUAUUCAUUGGGCAUUUCAAUGGUCUCACUCUAGAUAUGCUAGGGUUCUGGAGAGGAAUGAGAGAGUGUCUGCCUUCUAGGGGUGCACGGUCUGGGUGGGGUGGAGCUGGUGGUAAAAGUGAGUAAUUCCAAGAGGCAAACGAUGUGCUUUUCCAGUGUUGGCGCUGCUGGGAAAGGAGGAACGGAAGUCGCCGGAAGGGUGGGUGGAGGGGGGAAUUAGAGCGCCACCUAGAGGGAGGAUUUGCCUGGGAAAACCCUCCCUUGGCGCCGUUAAUCUCAGACUCAUUCAGUUUCACCCAAA